UAGCCUAAUGGUUAAGGCUAUGGAUCGCCAAUCCGAAGACGGCGGGUUCGAUUCCCGU
rfam:Aedes albopictus isolate Foshan contig103717, whole genome shotgun sequence.